GUAAAAGUCGUAACAAGGUUUCCGUAGGUGAACCUGCGGAAGGAUCAUUAUUGAAUAACCUGGAUGUUGAUGCUGGCGUGAAAGCGCAUGUGCUCGCAUUCAUAUUAUUUCAAAUCCCUUUGUGCACCUUUCUAGUCUCGGAUUCGAAAAGGAACCUCUCACACUCGAUCACCUAUUAUCUUUGGGUAAACCGAAGUAUUGGAUUGUGCUUGAGCGCUUUCAUUAGCGUUCUCAUUAGUCCUAUGUUCUUGCCUGUGGGUUUGAAGCAUUUGAGCCAGAAAUGGUCCUACGCUUCUAUGUCAGCAGUAUGGUUCGGACUAGCUUUUAUAUCUCUAAUGUAUGUUAAAGAAUGUCAUCUUUUGUUGACGCAAGUCAAUGAAAAAACCUAUACAACUUUCAGCAACGGAUCUCUUGGCUCUCCCAUCGAUGAAGAACGCAGCGAAAUGCGAUAAGUAAUGUGAAUUGCAGAAUUCAGUGAAUCAUCGAAUCUUUGAACGCACCUUGCACCCUUUGGUAUUCCGAAGGGUAUGCCUGUUUGAGUGUCAUUAAAUUCUCAACCUUACAACUUUUUGUGAGUGGUAAGGCUUGGAUGUGAGGGUUAUUGCUGGCUUCCUUCAGUGCGAUGGUCAGCUCCCUUUAAAUGUAUUAGUGGAAUUCUUGUGAAUCGUUCACUGAGUGUGAUAAUUAUCUACGCUCUAGAUUUGCAACGGUCUGCUUAUAACCGUCCUUCAGUUGGACAAUUUAUUGACAAUUUGACCUCAAAUCAGGUAGGACUACCCGCUGAACUUAAGCAUAUC
rnacentral:rRNA from 1 species